rnacentral:rRNA from 1 species
AAUAGAUCCCGGGUAGUCCACCCCGUAAACGUUGGGAACUAGUUGUGGGGUCCUUUCCACGGAUUCCGUGACGCAGCUAACGCAUUAAGUUCCCCGCCUGGGGAGUACGGCCGCAAGGCUAAAACUCAAAGGAAUUGACGGGGACCCGCACAAGCGGCGGAGCAUGCGGAUUAAUUCGAUGCAACGCGAAGAACCUUACCAAGGCUUGACAUACACCAGAACACCCUAGAAAUAGGGGACUCUUUGGACACUGGUGAACAGGUGGUGCAUGGUUGUCGUCAGCUCGUGUCGUGAGAUGUUGGGUUAAGUCCCGCAACGAGCGCAACCCUCGUUCUAUGUUGCCAGCACGUAAUGGUGGGAACUCAUGGGAUACUGCCGGGGUCAACUCGGAGGAAGGUGGGGAUGACGUCAAAUCAUCAUGCCCCUUAUGUCUUGGGCUUCACGCAUGCUACAAUGGCCGGUACAAAGGGCUGCAAUACCGUGAGGUGAGCGAAUCCCAAAAAGCCGGUCCAGUUCGGAUUGAGGUCUGCAACUCGCCUG